rnacentral:rRNA from 1 species
AUGAACGCUGGCGGCGUGCUUAACACCUGCCCGUCGAACGAUGAAGCCCAGCUUGCUGGGUGGAUUAGUGGCGAACGGGUGAGUAACACGUGAGUAACCUGCCCUUAACUCUGGGAUAAGCCUGGGAAACUGGGUCUAAUACCGGAUAGGAGCGUCCACCGCAUGGUGGGUGUUGGAAAGAUUUAUCGGUUUUGGAUGGACUCGCGGCCUAUCAGCUUGUUGGUGAGGUAAUGGCUCACCAAGGCGACGACGGGUAGCCGGCCUGAGAGGGUGACCGGCCACACUGGGACUGAGACACGGCCCAGACUCCUACGGGAGGCAGCAGUGGGGAAUAUUGCACAAUGGGCGCAAGCCUGAUGCAGCGACGCCGCGUGAGGGAUGACGGCCUUCGGGUUGUAAACCUCUUUCAGUAGGGAAGAAGCGAAAGUGACGGUACCUGCAGAAGAAGCACCGGCUAACUACGUG